AUUUAUAUAGUUUAAGAAAAACAUUACAUUUUCAUUGUAAAAUUAAAAUAUAAUUUUUUAUAAAUA
rnacentral:tRNA from 2 species